CUCUUCUUCCCAGACAAGCAUGGCAGGUACCAGCUUUCAGAGUCCUGCUGGACAGCCAAACAAAUUUCUCCCUUUUUCCCUUUAAUGACUUCUAAAUACAAGUCCAAUUUUUAGUUGACCCAUAUCCAUUAACCAAAUGAUUAACACAGAGUAGAGAAGACAACAAGAAGAAAAUAUGCUUUGUCUUCAAAGUAUGUUUGAACAUUUCAUGUUCCUGUGCCUUCAGGGUUUCUUUUGGAUGGUGUGACCAGAUUAUGGGUGACAUGUCUUAGGAUCUUAGGUUCAGAGGAUGCCAUGGACAUCAAUCUUCCAUCCCUUUAAAUGGAUUCUGCCAAGAAGACAAGAUUGGAUUAAAAUACUUUACAAAAUUUUCCGAGUAUGUGUUUUGCCAUGGACAUCAAACUAAACAAUGGAAACAGUGAUCCAGGUUUUGCAUCUGUACAAUGGAGGAAGUAACACUCCUCACCUUGUGAGGAUGACAUGAGACCACAAAGAUAUUAGAAGUGCUUGAUACAAUGCCUGGCACAUGGAAAUGUGGUCUGUAAAUGGUAAUCAUUA
rnacentral:lncRNA from 10 species